rnacentral:rRNA from 1 species
UGGGGAAUUGUUCGCAAUGGGCGCAAGCCUGACGACGCAACGCCGCGUGGAGGAUGAAGAUUUUCGGAUCGUAAACUCCUUUCGAUCGAGACGAAUAGCUUCCGGGCUAACAUCCCGGGAGAAUGACGGUACCGAGAGAAGAAGCCCCGGCUAACUCCGUGCCAGCAGCCGCGGUAAUACGGGGGGGGCAAGCGUUGUUCGGAAUUACUGGGCGUAAAGGGCUCGUAGGCGGCCAACUAAGUCAUACGUGAAAUCCCUCGGCUUAACCGGGGAACUGCGUCUGAUACUGGAUGGCUUGAGUUCGGGAGAGGGAUGCGGAAUUCCAGGUGUAGCGGUGAAAUGCGUAGAUAUCUGGAGGAACACCGGUGGCGAAGGCGGCAUCCUGGACCGAUACUGACGCUGAGGAGCGAAAGCCAGGGGAGCAAACGG